rnacentral:rRNA from 1 species
UACGAAGGGGGCGAGCGUUGUUCGGAUUUACUGGGCGUAAAGGGCGCGCAGGCGGCGCAUUUUGUCAGGCGUGAAAGCCCCGGGCUUAACCUGGGAACAGCGCUUGAGACUGGCACGCUCGAGUUCGGGAGAGGAUGGUGGAAUUCCUAGUGUAGAGGUGAAAUGCGUAGAUAUUGGGAGGAACACCGAUGGCGAAGGCAAUCCCCUGGGCCUGCACUGACGCUCAUGCACGAAAGCGUGGGGAGCAAACAGG